rnacentral:miRNA from 1 species
CUUGGCACUGGUAGAAUUCACUGC